rnacentral:rRNA from 2 species
CGCGAAUGGGCUCAUUACAACAGCUAUAAUUCACUUGAUCUUGACACAAUCCUACUUGGAUAACUGUGGUAAUUCUAGAGCUAAUACAUGCAUUAAAGCUCUGACCUCACGGAAAGAGUGCAUUUAUUAGAACAAAACCAAGCGGCUUCGGCUGUUUUCGGUUGACUCAUAGUAACUGAGCUGAUCGCAUGGUCUUGCACCGGCGACGUGUCUUUCAAGUAUCUGCCGUAUCAACUUUCGAUGGUAGUGUAUCUGACUACCAUGGUGAUCACGCGUAACGGAGGAUAAGGGUUCGACUCCGGAGAAGGGGCCUGAGAAAUGGCCACUACGUCUAAGGAUGGCAGCAGGCGCGCAAAUUACCCACUCUCAGAACGAGGAGGUAGUGACGAGAAAUAACGAGACCGUUCUCUUAAGAGGCCGGUCAUCGGAAUGGGUACAAUUUAAACCCUUUAACGAGUAUCUAUGAGAGGGCAAGUCUGGUGCCAGCAGCCGCGGUAAUUCCAGC